UCAGGUGAGCCGGGGCCGGGGCCUGGCCCGGCCCGGCCUCCGGUGUGAGGGCCGGGAGCCCGUGAUCGAGGCCAGUGCCCUGCUCGGGGGGCUCCGCAGCCCGGUAAGCGUAAGUUUCUCAGUCUCUCCCAGCUGGCUAUGAGUUUUCAAAAAUCCUUGUCAGUGUUGUGGUAAGUGUGGCAGUGAAUUCCUUCUGAGCCCUAUGAUGUGGACACCUGAACCAACAGGUUCUGAAGUUCCAUACAAACUUUGAAGCCUAUUUCUGUGUAUACUGGCAUUGGCAACUGAAGUGCAUUGUUCGUCGGUGAAAGAGAACCUUUGCAGGAGGAACCAUAGCAGCUGCUUUGAGUAUAGAAGACCACCUUCCU